AUACGGAGGAUCCGAGCGUUAUCCGGAUUUAUUGGGUUUAAAGGGAGCGUAGGCGGACGCUUAAGUCAGUUGUGAAAGUUUGCGGCUCAACCGUAAAAUUGCAGUUGAUACUGGGUGUCUUGAGUACAGUAGAGGCAGGCGGAAUUAGUGGUGUCGCGGUGAAAUGCUUAGAUAUCACGAAGAACUCCGAUUGCGAAGGCAGCCUGCUGGACUGUAACUGACGCUGAUGCUCGAAAGUGUGGGUAUCAAACAGGAUUAGAUACUCUGGUAGUCCACACAGUAAACGAUGAAUACUCGCUGUUUGCGAUAUACAGUAAGCGGCCAAGCGAAAGCGUUAAGUAUUCCACCUGGGGAGUACGCCGGCAACGGUGAAACUUAAAGGAAUUGACGGGG
rnacentral:rRNA from 1 species